UACGUAGGGGGCUAGCGUUGUCCGGAAUCAUUGGGCGUAAAGCGCGUGUAGGCGGCCCGGUAAGUCCGCUGUGAAAGUCGGGGGCUCAACCCUCGGAUGCCGGUGGAUACUGUCGGGCUCGAGUACGGAAGAGGCGAGUGGAAUUUCCGGUGGAGCGGUGAAAUGCGUAGAGAUCGGAAAGAACACCAACGGCGAAAGCACUCUGCUGGGCCGACACUGACACUGAGAGACGAAAGCUAGGGGAGCGAAUGGG
rnacentral:rRNA from 1 species